rnacentral:rRNA from 1 species
UACGAAGGGUGCAAGCGUUACUCGGAAUUACUGGGCGUAAAGCGUGCGUAGGUGGUUCGUUAAGUCUGAUGUGAAAGCCCUGGGCUCAACCUGGGAAUGGCAUUGGAAACUGGCGACCUAGAGUGCGGUAGAGGGUAGUGGAAUUCCCGGUGUAGCAGUGAAAUGCGUAGAUAUCAGGAGGAACACCUGCGGUGUAGACGGCUUACUGGACCAUAACUGACGCUGAGGCACGAAAGCGUGGGUAGCAAACAGG